rnacentral:lncRNA from 1 species
CCCAACUUGUUUAAAAUUAAUAUAACUUGUGUACACUUGCCUGAUUGCAAUUUAUUUUCCAAAAUAGAUUUUACUGCUCAAGACAUAGAAUGACUAACAACAACCACAAUUUGUAUGUUAUCAGUAUGCAAUCAUCUCAGUGAUCUGUUAUGAAACAUACCAUGUAAUAGAUACUGGACCACCACACCGUCACCACACAGCUAGAUUUGAUCUGUGAGACUCUAGAAAACUGAACUUGGAUCAGUGGAUAAAGAUACGGGGGAAACACUCUCGCUACCCUGAGUUACCAAGUAAUACAUUAUCUGGCAUUGCCUGCUUACCUGAGACAGCACUGUGAAUUGGAGAGAACACCAGCUUUGGAAUCACACAGGUCCAAGUUUAAAUCCUGACUUCAUCAUUUCCUGGUAUGUGAUUGUAAAUACUUAUUUACAAAAUUGAGUUAUCUAAUCUAUAAAACACGAUCAAUUAUACCCA